rnacentral:rRNA from 1 species
GACGAACGCUGGCGGCGUGCCUAAUACAUGCAAGUCGAGCGAGCUUGCCUAGAUGAAUUUGGUGCUUGCACCAAAUGAAACUAGAUACAAGCGAGCGGCGGACGGGUGAGUAACACGUGGGUAACCUGCCCAAGAGACUGGGAUAACACCUGGAAACAGAUGCUAAUACCGGAUAACAACACUAGACGCAUGUCUAGAGUUUAAAAGAUGGUUCUGCUAUCACUCUUGGAUGGACCUGCGGUGCAUUAGCUAGUUGGUAAGGUAACGGCUUACCAAGGCAAUGAUGCAUAGCCGAGUUGAGAGACUGAUCGGCCACAUUGGGACUGAGACACGGCCCAAACUCCUACGGGAGGCAGCAGUAGGGAAUCUUCCACAAUGGACGCAAGUCUGAUGGAGCAACGCCGCGUGAGUGAAGAAGGGUUUCGGCUCGUAAAGCUCUGUUGGUAGUGAAGAAAGAUAGAGGUAGUAACUGGCCUUUAUUUGACGGUAAUUACUUAGAAAGUCACGGCUAACUACGUGCCAGCAGCCGCGGUAAUACGUAGGUGGCAAGCGUUGUCCGGAUUUAUUGGGCGUAAAGCGAGUGCAGGCGGUUCAAUAAGUCUGAUGUGAAGGCCUUCGGCUCAACCGGAGAAUUGCAUCAGAAACUGUUGAACUUGAGUGCAGAAGAGGAGAGUGGAACUCCAUGUGUAGCGGUGGAAUGCGUAGAUAUAUGGAAGAACACCAGUGGCGAAGGCGGCUCUCUGGUCUGCAACUGACGCUGAGGCUCGAAAGCAUGGGUAGCGAACAGG